UGGCCAUGUAUGUGUACUGUCUUUGCUGGCUGCUCCUCGUCCCUUCCUUUCUAGUGUUCUUAGGCCUCGAUUUUGUUUACCUUUUGUAACUUUCACAGGAACACGAAACCCACACACCACAUCUCGCAGAUCUAUCGCCAUUCCCCAAACCCAGAAUUACCACCAUGUCCCAUCAUCCUCCACUCAAAGCCGUCACUCUCACCCACGUCCGGUACCAAAGGGGCGAUCGUUUAGGCCAUUUCUUAGCUUGGGUCUCGCUCGUCCCGGUCUUCAUAAGCCUAGGUGGAUUCAUUUGCCAUUUCAUCUUCCGUCGGGAACUUCAAGGCAUGUUCUUCGCCCUCGGACUCCUCAUUUCCCAAUUCAUUAGCGAGCUCAUCAAGAAAUCGGUCCAGCAAGCCCGCCCCGAGACCUGCAUCUUCCUCGAGAUGUGCGAUUCGCAUGGCUGGCCCUCCAGUCACUCCCAAUAUAUGUUCUUCUUCGCCACCUAUUUCACUCUCUUGACCUUUAAAGGAAUUGGAUUAACGGAGGUUAAGCACAAGUGGGCCAGAUGCUUCCUCCCCUGGUUAUUGGCGGUCUUGACCAUGCAGUCCAGGGUGUAUUUGGGCUACCAUACGGUUGCGCAGGUGUUUGCUGGUGCUACUUUGGGGAUUUUGCUUGGAGCUGCGUGGUUUUGGAUGGUGAAUUAUAAGCUAUUUUAUUUCUUUCCUGUGAUUGAGGAGAGCAGGUUCGGGAGGAUGUUUUAUGUCAAGGAUACUUCGCAUAUACAAAAUGUUUUGGAAUUUGAAUAUGAGAAUGCAAGAAGAGCUAGAAAGGAUAUGGCUGCCAAGUGCAAUUGAUCGACUAAUAUUUCUCUUCUGUCAUAUACAUGCCACGGAAUUCAUGAGGUGACAAAUGACUGUCAAAGCUGCCAGGGCGGUAAGGAACAGUUUGGCACAAACUAUCUGUGGAUCAGGGUCUUAAUAAGUAGGAUAAAGCAGCCCUUACAAGUAUUCACCUUACAUAUGGCACAACAUGAGGAUAGAGCAUGAGAUACUUUUCCAUUCAGUGCGGUUGAUAGCUUUUCAUAUCACUCUCGUGUUGCUUGUAUGGAUUGCAAGAUUCUUAUUAAGCAAGUGCAAGUCUUGUUUAUUAGUCACUUCAUCUAGAAGACUGGCCAUAUGGGAAGCAAACUGGAGGGAGUUGCAUUAAGGUUUAGAUUGUUUUGCAUUAAUGAGAUUAAUAUGAUUUGUCAUGCUUGAAGGAUCUCUACAUUACUGAAGGUGUCACAAAAACGUAAAUCUUUUAGACAAUAAAUUUAGAAGCUUUAGUUGACAUUUAAGCUUGAAGCUUGUACAAUAGAUCUCUUCCUUUUUUUGAUUUUUGUAAUGGAAUUUUAUUGAAUUCCUAGAAUUAAGCUGAUUAGCCCGGUUGGUGUCUUGAGAACUAAUUUUAUUUUCAAUA